CCUACGGGUGGCAGCAGUGAGGAAUAUUGGUCAAUGGACGAGAGUCUGAACCAGCCAAGUAGCGUGAAGGAUGACUGCCCUAUGGGUUGUAAACUUCUUUUAUAUGGGAAUAAAAUGUUCCACGUGUGGCAUUUUGUAUGUACCAUAUGAAUAAGGAUCGGCUAACUCCGUGCCAGCAGCCGCGGUAAUACGGAGGAUCCGAGCGUUAUCCGGAUUUAUUGGGUUUAAAGGGUGCGUAGGUGGCUUGUUAAGUCAGUUGUGAAAGUUUGCGGCUCAACCGUAAAAUUGCAGUUGAAACUGGCAGUCUUGAGUACAGUAGAGGUAGGCGGAAUUCGUGGUGUAGCGGUGAAAUGCUUAGAUAUCACGAAGAACUCCGAUUGCGAAGGCAGCUCACUGGACUGCAACUGACACUGAGGCUCGAAAGUGUGGGUAUCAAACAGGAUUAGAUACCCUAGUAGUC
rnacentral:rRNA from 1 species